rnacentral:tRNA from 1 species
GGCCUCGUAGCUCAGCUGGUAGAGCGCGCGCUGUACAAAAAACGUAGGCGGCGUCCGUGCGUGAGUUCGAUUCCUACCGAGGCUA